rnacentral:sRNA from 1 species
AGGUUCUGCCCUUCCUGGGCGUUUCCUCCCAAUUCACUCGGCCGCCUUCUUCUCCUGGAGGGCGGCUUUUCUUUUGGGCGC